GGUUCGGGAGCCAAAGUCGGGAACUUUGGCAGGAAUAGAACCUAAAACGUGUUUCGUUGGCUAUGAGCGUCGGUGCCCGACGACUGUUCAU
rnacentral:ncRNA from 1 species